rnacentral:rRNA from 1 species
UGGGGAAUCUUCCGCAAUGGACGAAAGUCUGACGGAGCAACGCCGCGUGAACGAUGACGGCCUUCGGGUUGUAAAGUUCUGUUAUACGGGACGAAUGGCGUAGCGGUCAAUACCCGUUACGAGUGACGGUACCGUAAGAGAAAGCCACGGCUAACUACGUGCCAGCAGCCGCGGUAAUACGUAGGUGGCAAGCGUUGUCCGGAAUUAUUGGGCGUAAAGGGCGCGCAGGCGGCGUCGUAAGUCGGUCUUAAAAGUGCGGGGCUUAACCCCGUGAUGGGAUGGAAACUGAGAGGCUGGAGUAUCGGAGAGGAAAGUGGAAUUCCUAGUGUAGCGGUGAAAUGCGUAGAGAUUAGGAAGAACACCGGUGGCGAAGGCGACUUUCUGGACGACAACUGACGCUGAGGCGCGAAAG